AAAUUGAAGAGUUUGAUCAUGGCUCAGAUUGAACGCUGGCGGCAGGCCUAACACAUGCAAGUCGAACGGCAGCACAGAAGAGCUUGCUCUUUGGGUGGCGAGUGGCGGACGGGUGAGUAAUGUCUGGGGAUCUGCCCGGUAGAGGGGGAUAACCACUGGAAACGGUGGC
rnacentral:rRNA from 1 species